AUACGGAGGAUCCGAGCGUUAUCCGGAUUUAUUGGGUUUAAAGGGUGCGCAGGCGGGAGAUUAAGUCGGCGGUGAAAUUUUGCAGCUCAACUGUAAACAUGCCUUCGAAACUGGUUUCCUUGUGUGUAGAUGUAGUAGGCGGAAUUUUUGGUGUAGCGGUGAAAUGCAUAGAUAUACCGAGGAACUCCGAUUGCGCAGGCAGCUUACUAAACUACUACUGACGCUCAGGCACGAAGGCGUGGGGAUCAAACAGGAUUAGAUACCCUGGUAGUCCACGCAGUAAACGAUGAUUACUAGCUGUGUGCGAUACAAUGUAAGCGGCUGAGCGAAAGCGUUAAGUAAUCCACCUGGGGAGUACGUUCGCAAGAAUGAAACUCAAAGGAAUUGACGGGG
rnacentral:rRNA from 1 species